GUCGAACGGAUUAUUCUUUAUAGCUUGCUAUGAGAAUAAUUAGUGGCAGACGGGUGAGUAAUGCAUAGGAAUCUACCUAGUAGUAUAGGAUAGCCACUAGAAAUGGUGGGUAAUACUGUAUAAUCCCUGCGGGGGAAAGAUUUAUCGCUACAUGAUGAGCCUAUGUUAGAUUAGCUAGUUGGUGGGGUAAUGGCCUACCAAGGCAGUGAUCUAUAGCUGGUCUGAGAGGAUGAUCAGCCACACUGGAACUGAGACACGGUCCAGACUCCUACGGGAGGCAGCAGUGGGGAAUAUUGGACAAUGGGCGCAAGCCUGAUCCAGCUAUGCCGCGUGAGUGAGGAAGGCCUUAGGGUUGUAAAACUCUUUCAGUAGGGAAGAUAAUGACGGUACCUAUA
rnacentral:rRNA from 1 species